GUGCUUAACACAUGCAAGUCGAGCGGAAAGGCCUCUUCGGGGGUACUCGAGCGGCGAACGGGUGAGUAACACGUGAGUAAUCUGCCCUCCACUUUGGGAUAACUACCGGAAACGGUGGCUAAUACCGGAUAUGAGCGCCUCAUGCAUGUGGGGUGUUGGAAAGUUUUUCGGUGGGGGAUGUGCUCGCGGCCUAUCAGCUUGUUGGUGGGGUAAUGGCCUACCAAGGCUUCGACGGGUAGCCGGCCUGAGAGGGUGACCGGCCACACUGGGACUGAGACACGGCCCAGACUCCUACGGGAGGCAGCCAUUGGGGAAUAUUGGACAAUGGGCGGGAAGCCUGAUCCAGCAACGCCGCGUGAGGGAUGACGGCCUUCGGGUUGUAAACCUCUUUCAGUACCGACGAAGCGGAAGUGACGGUAGGUACAGAAGAAGCACCGGCCAACUACAUGCCAGCAGCCGCGGUAAUACGUAGGGUGCGAGCGUUGUCCGGAAUUAUUGGGCGUAAAGGGCUCGUAGGCGGUUUGUCGCGUCGGGAGUGAAAACGCCGGGCUUAACUCGGUGCUUGCUUUCGAUACGGGCAGACUAGAGGCAUGCAGGGGAGAACGGAAUUCCUGGUGUAGCGGUGAAAUGCGCAGAUAUCAGGAGGAACACCGGUGGCGAAGGCGGUUCUCUGGGCAU
rnacentral:rRNA from 1 species